CAGGAAGACUGGAGAAACCGACUCCUGCUGUGCCUCAACGUCCAACAAACUCUGAACUGAGCCACACACAAUACCGAACAAAAAAAUUUGCAGACAAUCAGAAUAAUGGAGACUCGGUACAAAGAGAGACCAAAGAGAAACAGACUCCUGCGGUUCCAAC